rnacentral:tRNA from 1 species
AGAAGUGAGCCAAAUAUGACCUAGGAUUACUUUGAUAGAGUACUAUAAGAGGGUUUAAUUCCCUCCACUUCC